GUGCAUUAAAAUAAGACAUGUCACAACAUGAAGGGAUGCAAAACAUUUUAUUCUUUAAAAAAAGUUACUUUACCAUAAAUGUAUAUUAAUAGAUUACCUAUGAUGGCUUUCAAUACCAAAAUAUAUAUGUUUAUAUAGGCAGUUUUCUCUUUACAGAUUUAGGCAAAGCGUAAAAUGCCAUAGUAUAGGCCAGGCUUCCCCAAAUUCCGGCCCUCCAGAUGUUGCUUAACUACAUCUCCCAUGAUUCUAUAAAUGAAAUAGGCUGAGAAUCAUGAGUUGUAGUUAAGCAUUAUGUGGAGGGCCAGAGUUUAGGGAAGCCUGGCAUAUAAUAUCAAAGGAUAUUUACAUAUCAAUCCAAAACUGGGAGAAGGAUAGGGUAAUAUUUCAAGAAGGUCCAGAAUUGGACCAGCCAAGCCCAUUUCUGCAUGUGUUCAGGGUAAAUUACUACAUGGAUACCUCUUAAUACAUUUAGUGUGUGGAGCUAGGCAGCAGUUGUUCAGCUGUUAAAAGGCUUGGCAGCUUCCAGGGGACAAACCACUAAGUUGUACUUCAUAAUGACUGAGGAUAUAACUCCCUUCAGUGUCAACCUGAGGUAUGGUGAUGCAUACAGGGUCUUAAUCAAACACAUUUAAACUACUAUACAAGUGAAUUCAUUUUUCAAUAUUCUUAAGUCCAUAAUGAUUGACCAUUUUAACAGAUCAGAUGGUUUCAGGUUCUUUACGAGUCAUGUAUAUGCCAGAUAAGAUUAUGCUUUAAUCUAUAAGAUUCCAUACUAAAAUUCAGUUCUACAGCAGACCAGAGAAGAAAAAAAUUCUUACAAAUAACCCAUUACCUCUUAUAAAAGACCUGUUACGCACCAGCUUGAGAACUUCACGUUGGCUCUACCUUGACUUGGCAUAAUCUUGAAAAGAGCAGCACUUAAAUCAGGGGGCAAUCUGCAGGGAUUGCCUGAUGCAAAGACCAGUUUUGCAUUACAUUGCCCAAAAUAUCCCCCAGUUUUGAAUGAGAAAUACGUUCAGUUAUUUACUAACAUGCAUAGACAUACACAAAGGGCAAAGCCUGUACAGUGCAAAAAUACUGUUCAAGUAGUCACAUUCUUAUGGGGAAACCAAAAGACAGGAUAACUAUAAAACUAUACUACAAAUUUUAAAUGCAUAGUAUUGAAGAAAUUGCAACGUUACCAAGCCCCCCGCCAAAAAUCUUUUACUUUUUAAUUUUCUAUACAAUACUUUUCACAGCAAAGCACAAAGUUUAAUGGAAACUUCAUUAUCUAUACUCUGUGAACGCAUCUUUAUUUAUUUACAAAGAUCAGGUAGCCAUAUAAAUAGUAAUAUAGACAAAGUGUAUCACAAGCAACAGCGAAUUCAAAUAAAGUUGGCACGGCGGACACAUAAAUGAGCAUGAAACACUCGUAUGGGGGGACGGGACUGCCUGCUUUAGACAAUUAGCAUAUAUAUUUGGUACUAUGAAUAUCCAACAGGGCGGUAAUAUUUUCCAUUUAUACCUACUCGUUACAAUGUUGACUUUUUAGAGUGCCAACAAUUUACUUUACACAGUUUGUAUGGAGAACAAUGUACUGUAUAUGCUCAUCAAUUUAUCUGUUCUAGACUAAAAUAGUUUUCCCCUUUAUACUGGAGUGUGGCAUCUGUUGGACUUUAGAAUUAUAUAAUAAAAUGUAAGUUAUAUGCUUCGAUGAAAAUCUGUGAAUCGGCUACAGUUACUGAAGGUCCAACACAGGUGCUCAAUAGCUUCAAAGUCACAUGACGCAGCCCUUUGAAGGUCAAUGCAAGAAUGUUUGUCCAAUUGCAUUACAUUGUUAGCAAGAUAAUCCAAGGUUGUAAGGGUCUAUCAAUCCUGAGGUUACGGUGGGAACAUUGUUUUAAAUAGCCUGGUGCAAAAAAAACUUACUAUUUAGGAAAAUGCACACUCUUGUCUUUAACAUUUCGAAUUGGAGAACAGCCAUGUAGACAGAGUGAAAUAAUCACUUUUUACUGAUUGGAACAGACAUAGCUCCCUCUAGCAUAGCUAAAAAAGUAAAAGGAUUAUUUUCCCCAGAAAAGCUCUAUACAGCAAUUAUUCUUUGCAGCAACAUUGAUUUAUCCAAACACAGACUGCAUACAUGGGGAAGUCUUAACAGAUAAUAAAGUAUGCACUCAAAGUUUUAAAUGGUAAUUGUAUGCAAAAAAUAUAUACACACAGCAUUAUUAACCUCCAAAAUAUGCAGAUCUUCCUUAUUUUAUAGCUACAUAUUUAUAAACUGAUUUUUCUAGCUUGCAUUCGUUGCAGAAAAACUUCACAUGUGGUUUGAAAGAAAAGCAAGAUGGCUGCCACUAGCAAUCUUAUAUGCACAAAGUUCUGUUUAUUUGUAACAACACAUUAACAGUAAGCUCAAACUGUUAAGUAGUCAGAGGUCAAUCAUAGAAUUCAUUACAAAUUAUUAUCCACAUAGCUUGUUUUGGAAUCUGUCACUCUGCUAAGAAAAACCCUCAUCCCACUUUCCGAUUGUAAGAAAACUAAAAGAUCUGUUUUAUUUGAUUAGUGAUACAUAUAUUAAUUUAUAAAGGACCCGGUUUAUUCCAGAUGAAACCUCGGUUCUCAUUACUAAGGGGUACAAUUUCUUUCAUAUCCUGUACAAAGAAAUGUUCAUUCAUUCAUUCAUUGACUUAGCACAGGAACCCUUAUUUCUGCCCAGUACAGUGUCUACUUAAUUGUCCCCAUAUGGGUGAAAAUCUUACACGUCUCUAGGCAAGUUCAUUUCACUUCUGCAAAACCAAAAUGAAUACUUUAGAAUAUAAAAUUACCAUUAACAUAUUGCAGACUUUUGUUAAAUUUCAGUUACAUCCUCUGCAACACAAGUGUUAAAAUUAUAGAUGUGUAUAGUGUGAAUGAAUGAAUACAAUACAUUGACAAUAUAUGGCAAAAUAGAAUCUAUGCACUGAACAGUAACUUGUCCAACUUUUAAUAAAGAAAAGUUAAUGUGAUUUGAAUAAUUAAACGCGUACUUGAAGAUUUUCAUGAACCCUGUCAUGAUACAGCUAUUUUACCUAAAUAUCUAGUAACUGAUCAAUAAAAAUGUCCUCCAGCCCCCCACAAUCCAUCUGUACUCAAAUUUGGCUAUACCAAUUAUUAUACAACAUGAAACAGUUUUUAAAGUGUGUUACAUAUGUAGCUAUCACCCUACUUCUAAUACCCUCCGAAAACACUAAAUGGAUUAGAAAAAAAAUACAGCAAUGAUGUAAAUAUAUAGGUUUUUUUUUUUUAAAUUAAAGUGGUGAGUAUGAAAUGUCAAUAUAAAUGCGGUGACAUGGUAGCAUUACACUGCUGAGGACAGUGACAUUAAUAAAGACACACUAAGGGAGCUAAUGUAAAGUUUAGGCUUGGGGUCUUUACAGUGAUCAGUAUAGCAAUAGGGAAAGUUGGGAUUUGGGGUACUGUGCCUCUACAACGUUGUGUAGUUUAAUUCCCAUUCCCAAGAUACUAUGCCAGGGGGGGGGGAAAGCCUGGUAAAAUUAUACAGUGUUAAAUCUAUACAUUUGUUAUCCAUCUGGUUAUCACACAGGUAUUUGCACAUGAAGUUGUCAAUCACAAAGAGCAACGCAUUUUGUAAUACAUUUUGUAGAAUAUUUGUGACAAUAUUACCUUUUUUACAUUAAUGAUCAUUCAACAAUUUCUACAAAAAUAUGCACACAAGUGUUAUAUUUCCACAUAUUGUAUCUAUUUAAUGCCUUAAACUUCUGGAUCUUUACAUACCAGUGUUAAACUUCAAACAAUAUGAAAAAAAAAUACAUACAUAUACAUAUAUAUAUAUAUAUAUAUACACAUAUACAUAUAUAUACAUACAUAUACAUAUAAACAACAAAAAACAAAACUGGCUUUUGAAUAUAAUGAGAAAAAAAGUUCUUCUGAGUGCAUAGAAUUAUACAAAUUUUCUCUCAUUAAUCCCUUCUCAACAGAGAAUUACACAAUUUUGAAAAAAAAUGUAUCUUGACAGUCCGUUACAUUUACAUGAUCUUGGUUUUUACGGUCUUGUAUUGUUAGAAAAAUUUACAAACUAUACUGGUUAUUUUUAGCCCAGUUAGGUUUUUUGUUUCCCCCACACCUUUAAUUUUUACAAAACAGACUUUCCCAAACCACAGAGUUAUUCACCAAAGUGGAAAUUCAAAGUUAACCCAACAUGAAUUUCACAUUUAAGGUUAAAUUAGGCAAACUGGAAAAAUUCUCAGCUAUGCUUUCAGAUUGACUACUCUAGCCUUAAAAUUGUAAUUCUCUUUUAAUUUUCAUUUUAGUAAAUAAGUCUUUAGACUGAGUCUCUUCUAAGAUGUACACAUUUUCAGCAAUGUAGCCUUAUAUACGGAUCCAGAAAUUCAGUUUUAACAUUACACCUACAUCUCUGCUAUGGUAAAAAAAAAUAAGUAAAAAAAAAAUUUUUUAAGGUGCACAUUUAACAAAAGCUAUGCAGAGAAGAAAAAAAAAAUGUAAACAAAUUAAAAAACAAAACAAAACAAAAAAACCCUUCCUUUACAAGAUGUAAUUACAAUCACAAAUUUAAAUAUACAAUCCCUCUAAAAAAAGCCAUUUAACAAAG
rnacentral:lncRNA from 1 species